rnacentral:rRNA from 1 species
UUUCCGUAGGGGGGGCCUUGCGGAAGGAUCAUUACCACACCUAAAAAAUUUCCACGUGAACCGUUUCAACCAAAAGUUGGGGGUCUUGUUUGGCGGUGACUGCUGGCUUUAUUGCUGGCGGCUGCUGCUGGACGAGCCCUAUCAUGGCGAAAGUUUGGACUUCGGUCUGAGCUAGUAGUUAUUAUUUUAAACCCAUUCCUUAAUACUGAAUAUACUGUGGGGACGAAAGUCUCUGCUUUUAACUAGAUAGCAACUUUCAGCAGUGGAUGUCUAGGCUCGCACAUCGAUGAAGAACGCUGCGAACUGCGAUACGUAAUGCGAAUUGCAGGAUUCAGUGAGUCAUCGAAAUUUUGAACGCAUAUUGCACUUCCGGGUUAGUCCUGGAAGUAUGCCUGUAUCAGUGUCCGUACAUCAAACUUGACUUUCUUUCUUCCGUGUAGUCGGUGGAGGAGAUGUCAGAUAUGAAGUGUCUUGCGGUUGGUUUUCGGACCGACUGUGAGUCCUUUUAAAUGUACUAAACUGUACUUCUCUUUGCUCCAAAAGUGGUGGCAUUGCUGGUUGUGGAGGCUGUUACUGUGGCCAAUUGGCGACCGGUUUGUCUGCUGCGGCGUUAAUGGAAGAGUGCUUGAUUCGCGGUAUGGUUGGCUUCGGCUGAACAAUGCGCUUAUUGGGUGUUUAUCCUGCUGUGGCGUGAUGGACUGGUGAACCAUAGCUCGGUGACUUGGCCUUUGAAUCGGCUUUUGCUGUUGCGAAGUAGAGUGGCGACUUCGGUUGUCGAGGGUCGAUCCAUUUGGGAAAUUUGUGUGUACUUCGGUAUGCAUCUCAAUUGGACCUGAUAUCANUCACGUAUG